UCAGCAAGGGACCGCCUUUGCCUCUCCCACUUAUCCACAGGUCACCGUGUCACCGACUGUGAUUACUGCUGAAUAUACGAUGCCACUGGCAACUACCUCUACCUUUCAAAGACACAAAACAUCCUGCCCAUCCCGGGACCCUCUGAACACAAGGCUUUUUGUUGUUUUGGUUUUCUGUUUUUUGGAUCUGUUUGUUUUCUGUUUGUUUGUAUUCCCUCCCUCAGGCACCUGAGAUGAUGUGCUUCUCAGGUCACCCAGUCUGGAUUUCCUCACUGCUGCCUGCAGAAGAGGAAGGCGCCAAGGUCACCAGACCCCUCCUCACUUCAUCUCCUUAGAGUCCAGAAUCACACCAGCUGAAACCCUCCGAACUAGGUCAUCCCUUCUAACCAGCAUCCCUCCUCUCCCUGAAGCCCUGUGCUCACUCGUGAGAGUUCUACCCAGGCCACGGGUGACCUCAGCUGUGGGAGACAGUGUAUCUGCAUCCUGGGCUUUGUGACUCUCCAACAGGAAUGGCCCCAAGACAUCGGGCUGGAGUCUAACCGAACAAGCCCGGAAAGCCCUUUCUCAUCCCUAAAGUAGAAACAGCUGUAACAGUUGGCCUGACUGCUCCUAUGCUCCCUGUCAGAAGUACUCAGUGAGAUCUAUAUUUGCAUGUAAGAAUCACUGGCCUUGUACUGCAUUUGACCCUGCGGAGGACAGAACAUCAAAUUAUGGAGACAGCGCUGAGGCUCAGAGCUGGUUAACUCAGAGGUACAGCAGGCAGCUGAGAGCCAGACUGGGGAACCCAAUACAGGCAGGGAAGGAGUCAGUUCCGUUCCUAGAUGGUGGCACUUAGAGAUACUGCUGAUGCGAAUAACUCAUGAGACCAAGACUGCUGACUGUCCUCCCUACCCAAGAUCUCCUGCUGAGCCCCGAGGCUCUGGGUCCCAGACGCACACACCUGACCUUCCUUCUAUGCCUCAAGAGUUGGGAAGAGACAUGUCAACAGGAGUGGGGAGGACACAUCCCACCUUCUCCUCAGAGUCUUCAGCCACACCCAUGAGUCUCGUGGAGACAAGAGAUACAGACAAGCCCUGUGCUAUUGCUAGGGAGAGACCAGCCCCAUGCCCACCCCGCCUUCCCACUGGAUGAUAGGAUACCCUAUGAACAGCAUCCCCACCCCUUCUCUCCAAAGGAAAAGGAGUCAUAGAGUCACUCAAACAAGGGCAUACAGACCUCAGUCUCCACAGGCUGUGUUCCAGUGGAUGUGGAGUCUGGGUGGGCACGGGACAUGUGGGUGGGAUGUGGUAAGUUUCUUGUUAAAGCACAUGGGUAUUCUAGGCCUGGGCUGGGCAGAUCUUAAGCGACUGGAUAUAUAGCACAAAACAAGUUUGAGAAAAACUAUGUUGAGCCAACGCCAGGUAGAAGGGGCAUUCGUUGAGCAAGUUUUAUUGAGUGUCACUCUGUGGCAGCCCUGGGCACCAGGACUACAGAAAAGCUAGACAAGUCAGAUCUUACAAGGUCCACAAACAAAGAGGUCAGGGUGGAGGGCAGGGGCAGCACUGGCACACAGGAAGUGAGAAUGCUGUGUGAACCUCCCGGAACUUACUGAGAGGCAGGAUGUGGAGCCGAGGCAGGCCAGCAUGACCACAGUGACCAGUCAUGACACUGCAGGGAUAAACCCAGACUAAUUCUUUGUUAUCUGUCUAGCUGACCCUUUUACCCCUUGUGAUAAGUCUAGGGUGUAAGUGAGAUUAAAAAAAAACCUACCCAAGGCCAAAUACCUGCUACAGGCCCCACUGGCUAAGGGGUAAAAAGCCUGGACUCUGUCCCUGAGCCCUGUUCUCCUGCCAGGGUCGUCACCAAAGAUGGGCAAGCUUCUACAAGUCACAGUCUGCAGCACACCCCCAAAACACAAUAGAGCUGUGCUGGGUGUCACCUGCAGUGACAUGGCACUACCUCGAGAGGCAAACGUACCCACCAUCACCUGCAGACACAGGCCAACCCACUCCGGAUGUGAGUCAUCCAGCCCAGGGCCAGAUACAACAGACCCAUCCUUGGUGUCCUGAAAGACGGACACCUAGGACACGUAAACUGGCAGGUGAAGGGGUGGCUUCCCCACAGGCUGGCGCUGGGACAAAGGAGACCAGCACAAUCAGCACGUUCUGCUGACUCUUUAAAACCACUUGCAAAAAGAAACGAAGCUGUGAACACAACUCAGCCACUCAGCUCCCCCUCACCCUCAGUGGCCCUUGUGACUCUGCACAAAGCCCAACUGUGCGCAACUGUAGCCCCGGGGGAGGGGUCUCCAGCAAGCCUAUCCUCUCCCCUGAGUCACAGGGCCGCCACCUCACCCAGCUGAAGACGUGUGCUCCCUGCAUGCAAAGUGCAGAGUUGUCUAAGGUUGGCUGGAUCUGGGGAGCGUUUGCAAGGAGGGAGUUCUUGUCUUCAAUAAACCCCUUUCUAGCAAAACC